CAACUGUUAUUGGGUUACUUGAACAUUUUCAGUCACAAAAAGAGGAACUGUGUGAAAUUGACAUGAAAUAAAUUUCAAACAAGAUAAAUUCAAUAUUUGAUAUUUGACAUCAAAUUGUAUGCACCCAGGCCUUGUUGAUACAGAGGUUAGUUUUCAUCUAGAGCAAGACACAAUUGAUGCUGCAAGUUGAAACCAUAUUUGAUUUAAUUGCAUAUUAAAUUUCAUAUUAACUUUCAUAUUAUAUUUCAUAUUACAUUUUAUGUUACAUUGCUUAUAUUUAUGCUUUUCCAAAAAAGUAUCAUGAUCGUUUUUACAUGAUCGUUUUAUCAGAUUUGAGUUUCAAGUUUGAUUUUUAGAGUUGAUUGAAUAUUGCAUUUAUCAUAUUACAUUUCAAAUUAUAUUACAUAUUAAUAUUUCAUAUUACACAUUCCAUAUCUCGUAUUAUAUUAUAUUUUAUACCUAAAGGUUGUAUUGAAAUUUAAAUUCUAUCGCAAUUAUAUCAAUGAUUGGUAGCUGGGGAUUUUCUGAGACAAUACAUUGCUAAGUCUAUUUCCAAAAAAAAUCAUAAAAAAUUUCAUCUAAUUUCAUUCAAUUUUAUCCGAGAGGCAUAAGUACAUCCAUCAUGCUCCAUGUUUCUUUUCCCAUAUUUUUGAGGUAGAUAUUUUGUGGUAUAGCAACAUUCAAGGAUUUUAAAUUUUACAACUCUUUUUAGAAAAUCUUAAUUUAUUUAUUUAUUUUUGAAUAAUGAGCAUGUUAUUGUUUAAACUUUGCCAGGAGAUUUAUGAUUAUUUCAUCCUGAUUGAAUGAAAUUUACUUUUUUUGUAAAAAUUGUCUAUUUAUGCUUUAAAACUUAUUGUGAAACUUGAAGCCAAUGCAAGUCAAAAACUAGAUUUUAAAAAUUUUAUUUUUAUUUUUAUUCAUCACUUUAUUUUCAUCCAAGGUAGAAAGUACAUCCAUCUAAUUUCAUCCAAUAGGCGUAAAUGCAUCCAUUAAGCUACAUGUUUCUUUUUCCAUGUUUUUGAAGUGGAUAUAAAUUUCACAUAGAAUUUGAAAUCACAGCUGAAGCAUCCAGAAGAGGUCCAACAGCUACAUGGGGUUUGACAAGCAAAAUAUUACAGUUACAACUUGGUCUUCAGACAUAAAUUUAUAAAAGAAAUGUCAAUUUAAUUCCACCAUGAAGAAGCUAAUCUCUCAAUAUAACUCAGUUCCAGAGUAUAGAAUGGCCACAGCAUGUUGCAAGCUGAACAGAUCAAUGCAAUUCCAAGCCUCCUCAAGCGAAGAUAAUGGAGUGGCAAAUUCAAUUUGCAACCAAUUGGGUGAACUAAAAGCAGCACCUGUACAUAUGAACUAUGUAAGACUCUACACUUGGAAUAUCUAUCCUUCAAAAUAAAUAAAAUAAAAAAUAAAAAAAUAGAUAGAUAACUGUGAUAAACGAUCCUUGAGAUGAGAGUUGACGUUAAUCUCGUAGUACAACAAUAAACUUGUCUUCCACAAACAAAGAUGCAAACUCCAAGUCAUUUGUUAUGUCCAUAAACACAAAAGGAUCAAUUUUCACCUGCAAAAUAGAAAACUAAAAAGUUAAAAUGAUGAAGGCUAAAGAAUGCCAACUAGAUGAUUGAAAGUGUGACUUUGGAAAUGAAGGCUUCCUAAGCUACU
rnacentral:lncRNA from 1 species